rnacentral:tRNA from 1 species
GGGGCUGAGGCUCAGAGAUAGAGCACUUGCCUGGCAUGCAUGAGGCACAGGCUUCGAUCUUCAGCACCA